AAGUCUCCUUGUUUUACUGCCUCUCUACUGUUGCCACACCACUUGGUAUUCGAAUCUGAUGGGCAGGAUUGCCAAAGGCCCUUACCUGUCAAAGAGCUCAAGACUUUAUGUGUGGGAAUUUUGCUGUCCUGGUGGAUCUUCACAUAUUACCGCAAGGUUCAAACAAAGAUACCAGCUGGUUUUCCGAACAGAAGAAAGAGCCCUGACUCUAGUUCCAAGCACUUAGCACAUCAGUGUUGCAAGCUGGGAGCUGGUGCUCAAGAAGACGAAGCAGAGGGCCUCCUGAAUUCUUUGCUGUGCUGCAGUUUAGCUUUUGAGAAUAGUGGAGCUUUGCUUUACCCCAGAUAAGUACAAAAUCUCAGUGGCCCACCCAGUUCUGUGAAGGUGAUUUCAUUAAAAAGCAAACAUCAUCUUUAUCGCUGCCUGUUACCUCUGGGCACACGAAACACAGCUCCUUAAGCAUUUCAGUUCAGUAUAUGUCUGCAGAAGAAGUUUCUUAGUUUAUACAUCAAAAUCAGCUUGCCAUAGGAAUGGAUACAAAUACUUUCUGUGUUUUCUCUCUCUUCAAGUUUCUCUUUAAACAGUAGUUUCCUAUGGCCAGUAGAAUUCGCACUAAGCAAGCACAGAUCUCUUUUACAUGGUAAACUUGCCAUUUCUCUUGUAGGUGCCAUUAGGCAGGGUUUUCCACUGAAACCACAAGACACCAGCUUAAGAAUGAUUCCCUCAAACAGUCCUAUCUUGGGAGUUGGGGGCAGAGCAGGAAAGGUUUCCAUAAACUCAGUUCUCCCAGCAAUGUCAGUUGUAAGUCAUUCAGAAUCUGACUUACACUACUUUCUUUUCUAGAGCGGAAGGUGUCAUAUUGAGACAGCUGACCAAGCAGGAUUAGUGGUCACUCAAGUGGUAUCUCCAGAUACCAGGCUUCCUGAUCUUGAGCUAGAGUUUUCUUGGUCAAUUUCAAAUGGAGCCCCUUCCUACCAUUAACGAUUUAUUGCUAGAGAUUUUGUACAGAGAAAGGAGCUUUGAAAAUUUGAGCUUGCAUCUGAAUCUUGAUCACCUGGUGCUACAAGCGUUCAGUAUGAGCCACCAGCAAAGGCAGAAAUGACUUAGAUAUUGCAUUUUUGUCGUUGUUCAGUUCUUUGGAAGACUCACAUUUAUUAUAAAUCUUUUCUCUGGAAAUCCCUUUGUGUUUCUAAGUCCACUCUGAUCAUCCCCCGCCCCCAGCAGUAGGACAGAUAAACAGAUGUGGAUGUCACUUCCACUCUCUCGGUGACCUAAGGGCUGAAGUAUUUAUUUUAAAGCACUCAGAAUUAUGCCAGCGUGUGCAUAUUUCGUUUGACAUUUGAAGCAGAAGAAAGCCACAUGACCAAAAUGCAGUCCAUUUCAAGUGUGUUAGUAAAAAACAUAUUUCAUCUCAGUAAAGCUGGAGAUAUCUCAUCAUAGAUGUCACUGUUAUUUCGAAAUCCCCGUGACUAAAGCAAUUGUGCUGUCAGAGGCGUAGCUUGUGUAGACAGUACAUUGAGUCUGUGGUCACUGAUGUUCUGGAUCUUUCUAUAAGAGUGACAGAAGGAUACUUGAGCAUAAAACUGGAAACUUCCUUCACUGUAUUCUUAUAUAUACAAGUUAUUUCAAAACAAUCAUUGUCAUGGUUUUUCAAGAGUCCAGUGAGCCUAGAGACUGCCUCUUUCAACUCCUGGCCCUUCCAAUUUCAUGGAUAAAAUACUGUCUCCGAGGGUUAGCAAUUGCCUGAGGUUAUUUUAGAACCUGGAGAUCCUCACCCCUCUUUGGCAGGUCUUUCACUUCUGAUUCUUUCUUUUUUCUUUUCUUUCUUUCUUUCUUUUUUUAGGGCUAUACAUGCAGCAUAGAUGAGUUCCCAGGCUAUCAGAGCUGCAGCUGCUGUCCUACACCACAGCCACAGCAACACCAGAUCGGAGCCUCAUCUACGACCUAUGCCGCAACUUGCGGCAAUGCCAGAUCCUCAACCCACUAAGCGAGGCCAGGGACCAAACCCGCAUCCUCACAGAUACUGUGUCAGGUUCAUUAUUGCUGAACCACAACAGGAACUCCUUCACUUCUGAUUCUUCCACCAAGUACUCUCCUGUGUUACCUGGGAUGUUUUUUACUUGCUCUUUUCAAGAGAGGCAUCAACAGAGUAGUUUAUCCCUGGAGCAGGGCUGGAAGGGAGGAGGGUGAAGGGUACUCUGCUGGCACUUCCUGUGAGCCACCUGAAAUGACGUUGCCACCUGUAAGGUGAACAGAAACACCUCCAUCAUCACAGAUGGGAUGCACUCCUUUGGACCAGGCGUCUUUCACUUAACAUCAUGUUUGGGAUAUUUAGUUCCAAUAUGGCCCAUGCUUAUAGCACAUUCAUUUUUUUUCAAUGAAUUUAUUACAUUUGUAGUUGUACAAUGAUCAUCAAAAUCCAAUUUUAUAGGAUUUCCAUCCCACAGCCCUAGUGCAUCCCCCAACCCCCCGAACUGUCUCUUUUGGAAACCAUAAGUUUUUCAAAGUCUGUGAGUCAGUAUCUGUUCUGCAAAGAAGUUCAUUGUGUCCUUUUUUCAGAUGCCACAUGUCAGGGAUAGCAUUUGAUGUUGAUGUCUCAUUGUCUGACUUCGCUUAGCAUGAUAAUCUCUAGGUCCAUCCAUGUUGCUAAAAGUGCGCGUUCAUUUUUAGAGGCAGUGCAGCAUUGUGCUGUGUGGCUCUUACCUCCCCGCUUUCCUUCAAUUAAGAAAUUGUACUUUGGGAGGUCCCCUUGUGUCUCAGCGGUUAAUGAACCCACCUAGGAUCCAUGAAGAUUCGGGUUCUAUCCCUGGCCUCACUCAGUGGAUUAAGGAUCCAGGGUUACCGUGAGCCGUGGUGUAGUUCGAAGAUAUGGCUUGGAUCCCGUGUUGCUGUGGCUGUGGUGUAGACCGGUGGUUGCAAUUCCAAUGUGAUCCCUAGUCUGGGAACCUCCAAAUGCCACAUGUGCAGCCUUAAAAAGCAAAAAAAAAAAAAAAA
rnacentral:lncRNA from 1 species